rfam:Actinomyces sp. oral taxon 178 str. F0338 genomic scaffold SCAFFOLD1, whole genome shotgun sequence.
GGGGCUAUGGCGCAAUUGGUAGCGCACCUGCUUUGCAAGCAGGGGGUUACGGGUUCGAGUCCCGUUAGCUCCA